rnacentral:lncRNA from 1 species
GCUUUAAUUUGCACACUUGCCUCCGGGUAGUUCUUUGGCCUGGAGGCUCGCAGGCCCACGCCCUGCCGUCCUCCACUCCGGCCCCCAGCCGGGGCCAGAGCCCGAGGCACCCGAGCCUCCCCGGCUACCCCGCGGGCGGCGCCCUCCGCCCUCCGCAGCUGUGCCCACCCCCUGCCCGCAGAGCGCAGCUCGCCUGGGCCUCAGUAGUCAGUUACCUGCUCCGCGGGGCGAACACGAGCGGGGGCAGACAGACACUCCAGCUUCGCAGGAGGCCAGCGCCCCUGGACCGCAGGUGCAGAGAUUGUGGGCAGACUCUGUAAUCGCUGCGGAGGGGGAAGAAGAGGGAUCAGCGCUCUCCCGCGGCGGCAGCAGGACGCGGCGACUCGGCUGGGCGGAGUUUCCGGGCUACGCCCGGCUUGCGCCCGCGAAUCCGACUCUGGGCGUUCCCGAGGCGUGUAAGGCAGCGAGUGCGUACCCCGGUUCCACUGUGCCGCGCCGGCAGCCUGCAGCCAGCAUGGAGAAGGACAGCCUGAGUGGCGCCGAUCAGCAGUAUUAGUGAGUGGCGGAGAUCGGCGAAGGCACCUACAGGAAGGUCUUCAAGGCCGGCGACCUGAAGAACGGCGGCCGCUUCGUGACUCUGAAGAGUGAGCGAGUGCAGACCAGUGAGGAGGGCAUGCGCUCUCCACCAUCCGUAAGGUGGCUGUGCUGAGACACCUGGAGGAUUUGAGCACCCCAACAUGGUCAAGUGAGCCGAGAGCCCUGGCUAUGGGGUCCCGGAAUGUGCUGGGCAAAGGGCUGCUGGUGGCCCAACUAAAGUUAAGAGUUGAGUUUCCCCAGAUAAAACCGGUGACCCUGCUAGGCAGGGCAGAAAAAGAGACCUGCAGUGUCUUCCUGGCAGCCAAGCUAUUCUGAAGAGCUUUCGCUCUGCGUGCCCCAAGGGGCCUGAGGGCGUUGGGUGUCUUUUAGGGACAAAACCAGACAACCCCAGAAACGUCCCUCCAGCCCUUACUUAACUUUUCCCGUCCGUGGGGGUAUUUGUGAGAGAAGAGUGAGAUAGUUAUCCAGCUUGCAGAUAAUUAGCAGGAAACUUUAAGGGUGGAGCAUAAUGUAAAUAAAGUUUAAGAAAAUGCAGAAACGUGCA